rnacentral:rRNA from 1 species
AGUGGCGGACGGGUGAGUAAUGCUUAGGAAUCUGCCUAGUAGUGGGGGAUAACUCGGGGAAACUCGGGCUAAUACCGCAUACGCUCUACGGGGGAAAGCGGGGGACUUUCGGGCCUCGCGCUAUUAGAUGAGCCUAAGUCCGAUUAGCUAGUUGGUAGGGUAAUGGCCUACCAAGGCGACGAUCGGUAGCUGGUCUGAGAGGACGACCAGCCACACUGGGACUGAGACACGGCCCAGACUCCUACGGGAGGCAGCAGUGGGGAAUAUUGGACAAUGGGCGCAAGCCUGAUCCAGCGAUGCCGCGUGUGUGAAGAAGGCCUGCGGGUUGUAAAGCACUUUCAGUAGGGAAGAAAAGCCGAGUGCUAAUAUCGCUCGGUCUUGACGUUACUUACAGAAGAAGCACCGGCUAACUCCGUGCCAGCAGCCGCGGUAAUACGGAGGGUGCGAGCGUUAAUCGGAAUUACUGGGCGUAAAGGGCGCGUAGGCGGUUUGGUAAGUCGGGUGUGAAAGCCCCGGGCUCAACCUGGGAAUUGCAUUCGAUACUGCCUGGCUAGAGUAUGGUAGAGGGAAGCGGAAUUCCGGGUGUAGCGGUGAAAUGCGUAGAUAUCCGGAGGAACACCAGUGGCGAAGGCGGCUUCCUGGACCAAUACUGACGCUGAGGCGCGAAAGCGUGGGGAUCAAACAGGAUUAGAUACCCUGGUAGUCCACGCCCUAAACGAUGAGAACUAGCCGUUGGAGG